rnacentral:rRNA from 1 species
UCAUAAGCGGAGGAAAAGAAACUAACAAGGAUUCCCCUAGUAACUGCGAGUGAAGCGGGAAAAGCUCAAAUUUAAAAUCUGGCAGUCUCUGGCUGUCCGAGUUGUAAUCUAGAGAAGUAAUGCCCGUGCUGGACCGUGUAUAAGUCUCCUGGGAUGGGGCGUCAUAGAGGGUGAGAAUCCCGUCUUUGACACGGACUACCAGUGCAUUGUGGUAUGCUCUCAAAGAGUCGAGUUGUUUGGGAAUGCAGCUCAAAAUGGGUGGUAAAUUCCAUCUAAAGCUAAAUAUUGGCGAGAGACCGAUAGCGAACAAGUACCGUGAGGGAAAGAUGAAAAGAACUUUGGAAAGAGAGUUAAACAGUACGUGAAAUUGCUGAAAGGGAAACGCUUGAAGUCAGUCGCGUUGGCCGGGAAUCAGCCUUGCUUCUGCACGGUGUACUUUCUGGUUGACGGGUCAGCAUCAAUUUUGACCGCUGGAAAAAGGCCUGGGGAAUGUGGCAGCUUCGGCUGUGUUAUAGCCCCUAGUCGCAUACAGUGGUUGGGAUUGAGGAACUCAGCACGCCGCAAGGCCGGGUUUCGACCACGUUCGUGCUUAGGAUGCUGGCAUAAUGGCUUUAAGCGACCCGUCUUGAAACACGGACCAAGGAGUCUAACAUGCCUGCGAGUAUUUGGGUGGAAAACCCAAGUGCGUAAUGAAAGUGAAAAGUUGAGAUCCCUGUCGCGGGGAGCAUCGACGCCCGGACCAGAACUUUUUGGGACGGAUCCGCGGUGGAGCAUGUAUGUUGGGACCCGAAAGAUGGUGAACUAUGCCUGAAUAGGGUGAAGCCAGAGGAAACUCUGGUGGAGGCUCGUAGCGAUUCUGACGUGCAAAUCGAUCGUCAAAUUUGGGUAUAGGGGCGAAAGACUAAUCGAACCAUCUAGUAGCUGGUCUG